rnacentral:ribozyme from 1 species
GUUUCUUCUUCUUCUUCUUCUUCUUCUUUUCUUUUUCUUCUUUUUGCUCUUGUGGAAU